UCAAGUUCUCAUAAUUCAAAA
rnacentral:miRNA from 1 species